UGGCUCAUGCCUGUAAUCCCAGCACUUUGGGAGGUCAAGAUAGGUGGAUCACUUCAGGCCAGGAGUUUGAGACUAGCCUAGGUAACAUAAUGAUACCCCAUUUCUACAAAAAAUUUAAAAAUUAGAAGGUCAUGGUUGUGUGUACCUGUAAUCCCAGCUACUUGGGAGGCUGAGGCAUAAGAAUCGCCUGAACCCGGGAGGCAGAGGUUGCAGUGAGCUGAGAUCUUGCCACUGCACUCUAUCGUGGGUGAUAGAGUGAUACUCUGUCUCAAAUAAAUAAAUAAAAUAAAGUGAGAGACAUGUGACUCUUCCAUUCACUGGAACACUUAGAAGCCAUUGUCUGGUUACUAACUGGGGUAAUUUCAAUAUUGUAUCUUAGGGAAUAGAAAGGCCUGACUAGAGGGAGAAAGAAAAGGGAGCAGCUGAUCACUGGAGCAGUGAGAACACUCAUUUAUUGAUUAAACUCUCUGUUUCAUAUAGGAAAGGUUUGUGGUGCCCUCAACAAUUACAAGUGUAACAGCAAAGAUCACUUAUUACAGAUCACCAUAGCAGAUAUAAUAGUGAAAAAGUUUGAAAUACUGUGAGAAUUACCACAAUGUGACACAGAAACAUGAAGGGAGCACGUGCUGUUUGAAAAAUGGUGCUGAUAGACUUGCCAGACAGGGUUGCCUCAAACCUUCAAUUUGUAGAACACACAGUCUGUGAAGCACAAUAAAGUGGAGCACAAUAAAAUGAAGUAUGUCUGCAUGCAAACUCCUCUGAGGUCUAUGAAUAGGAGUAGAACUGCUGGUAGACAGGGUAUGCACUUUUAAAAUAAAUCUGUUUCUUAUCCUGUCUCUAUUUUUUCAGUCUGCCAGUCCCCUUCCUGCCUUCUUUCAUAUCUAUCUAGGAUUCCAUCAUCACCACACUUUUGAAAUAGUGGGCCUCAAUCAUGUUAUAAUGCAUUGUGAUUGUUGUCAGCAAUUGGUAAGCAUCUCAAAAAAGAACAAACCAAGUUACCCAGAUCACUCCCCAAAGUGGGCAGAAGAGAAAAGGAUUGGGUUAAAGGUUGCAAUAACAGUGACCCCCUCCUGCCAGGCAUGAUGAAUCUUCCUAUCUAGACACACUUGCUGUAAUCUCCUUUUGUUUCCCACUCUACUUCCUUUGAGAGAUGUCAGAGAUAAUGAUGGUGAGUGGGCUAAAUUCAUUUUCUUGCUCUCACUUCCUUCUCCUCUUGGCUCUUACCUUCACCUCCACUACUCCCCAUGCACACACGCCUUCAGAUAUAAUGUUUACAGCUACUUAUUGCCUUUUAUUUGCUGUGCUCUCACUGCUAAUUAUCCUACGUUAUGUUUCAUUCUCUUUGGUUUUGUUGCCAAGAAAUAUCCCUAUAUCCUUACUCCCUGCCAUCCCUUGCUCUACUAGAAAUCUGGUUUUCCUUUAAUGAUGCUGUUUUCCUUUUUCUAUGAAGUGGAGCCUAGCUGUUCUGGUGAAGUCACUGUGGGCUAGUAGAUUGAGAAUGAGUUCAUAGUCACACUUGAGUUCAAAUCUGGACUACAUCAUAGGUGAGCUGUGUGUCCUUGGAUUUAUAACUUGUAAGAACCUCAGUUUGCAUACUGAGGAGAAGUUUAAGGAUCUCUGCAUCAGAGUUAUUGUGAAGAUAAAAAAGGGGUAAGUAAUGAGACAUUGGUACAUAGCUCCUAGUAUAUUCCAUAUUGUUAGUUUUAUUUUACCUGAAAAAUUGCUGCUGCUAACAAGGCCCAUCUUUCCUACAAUAAUGGAGUCAAGAGUGUAAGGUCUUGCCUAAGGGAAAUUUGGCUAUAAAAUUAUCCCUCCCUUCACACACAUAUAGUUUGGGCCAAGGAGGGGGCCUGUAAGGCAGCAAUCCCCAACAUUUUUGGCAGCAGGGACUGGUUUCAUGGAAAUCAAUUAUUCCAUGGAUGGGAGAACAGUGGGGGUGGGAUGGUUUAGGGAUGAAACUGUUCCAUCUUGGUUUAUCAGGCAUUAGAUUCUCAUAAGGCACAUGCAACCUAGAUCCCUCCUGGUGUAGUUCACAAUAGAGUUCGUGCUCCUAUGAGAAUCUAAUGCAGCUGCUGAUCUGACAGGAGGCGAAGUUCAGGCAGUAAUGCACUGUGGGCUGCCACUCACCUACUGCUGUGUGGCCUGGUUACUAACAGGCCACAGACUAGUACUAGUCCACAGCCCAGGGGUCGGGGACCCCUGCUGUAAGGGUCUCUGGGUUUUCCUCCCAUACCUAUAACCUCUACAGACCAUUAUGUGUCCUUGGACCCUUCAUUUUUCCUUGUACCUGCCCUGCCAGUCUCAAACCUGGGAUUAACCUAAUUCCAUUUUUUUUUUUUUUUUUUUGCUUCUUCUGCCAGGCUAUUAGAUGGCAAAUAUCACAUACAUGGUGCCUUAGCUUAUUUCUACACAUUUAUUAUAUUAACCUUGCCCACACUGAAUAUUGCCUGGCAAUCCCUUUGAUCAUACUUAGUGGUUCAUUUUACCAGACCCCUCAGCUGGAUUUUUCAGACCUUUCCCUUUUCAGAUCUUUCCAAGCCUCCUGCAUCACUCCCUCCCCAUCUUCCUUUUAGUAGAUCACUUUACUUCCUUCUUUGUUAAGAUUGGGAAGUGAUUCAGAAAGAACGAGGAGUCCAGUCUUGAGAAAAAUGUUUUCCUGGCUAAAUGACACAGACAUUUCAAGGAAAGAAAUCACUAGGCUACCAAGAUUACAGUUAGUCUAUUCAUGUGGAUGAAAAAAUUUCCUCCAUAUCAUUAUCAUACUUGUAGGUGUCAGUGUUGCAAAAGUCAGGGAUGAAGUUGUUUACCUUAGAGAGUUAGCAAUUUAUAGGAAGGGGCUCAAGGCUUCAUUGAUUUGGAAGACUAGGUAGAAUCUUCUUCCUCAUUUUUAGCUUAUCUCAGGGUUGUAAAGAUUUUUGUUUUUCCUCUCCAGUGGUGCGACUUUAUAUGCUUAGUCAUAACGGUGGUUGGGCAAGGAGUCAGUUUUGUUGUCUCCAUAGGGGCCAACAGAUGUGAAUUCUCCUAACUGAUUCUAAAAGGAAUCCACUGGGUCAUGGACCACUAACAUAGAGAUUCCUGGGUCCCAUCUACUAGAAAUUUGGAUUUAGUUGAUCUGGGAUAGAGGCCAUGAGUUUUCUUUUUAAAUAAUUACCAUAGGUGAUUCUGAUGUAGCUCAUCCUAGAAACCUCUUUUAGAAACAUUGUAUUUUUGCUGAAUUUUAAUCUCCUUUUUGUCUCAAGAGUAUAUGAGGUAUUCUUUUCCUUUCCAAGACUGAUUUCUCUAUGUGUAUAUUUGAUUCCAUUUCUGUCAUUCCUUCUAGGUCCUUGAUCCAACAAUGAUUCCUUUCUCUGUAUCAACAGAUUCUUACUUUCUAUAAAUCUCCUUCCACUUAGCUUAGAACUGUUAUUCACAUUCAGUAAAUUUUUAUUGAGUGCUGUCUCUGUUUCCAGCAUAUAUUUUAAUUUCUUCCUUUAUAAAGGGUUUUUCUUUCUUCCUUGCCUACUCUCCUAUUUCCUCUUUACUACAAACUUUUUAAAGAUCUUUUCACACUGAUAUUUAAUAAGAAUUAUAACAACAAGUAGUAAUAAAGAUAGCCACUAAUAUUUAUUAGAUGAUUACUGUGGACCAGACACUUUUCUAAGUACACUAUAUAUAUUAACUAUGUAGCAGACAGUUCACAAAUUAACUAAAAAAUAUAUAUAUAUUAGGAUAUGUUUCUGGGCUAUUUAUUGUUAUAUUGAUCUGUAUUAUCUACUCUUCUGCCAAUAUGCUAUUUGGCAGAAGAGUAUUUAUAAUAACUUUAUAAAAUGCGUUUUAUCUUCCAUUACUUAGUGAAAUUCCUUUCCUUUGGCUUCUGGAACACCAUUUUCUCUGCCUCUACUCGAACUUUGAUUCAUCUUUAUCAGUGUCCUUCACUGACCUUUCUUCUCCGCCUCCUUCAUGUGAUUCUAUUUAAAGCCCUUUACAGCCUGCCUCCAACUUGCUUUUCCAGCCGCAUUCCUGAUACUGGUUUUCCUACAUGCUUCAGCCAAAGACAUAUACUCUUUGAUCCCUGAGAACACUAUUUCCUCAGUGUCUUUGCACAUGGAGUUAACUUCUCUGCUUGUGAAGUCUAUGAAUAUUGCAUGGCUGAUUUGUCACAAUUUUAAGUCUUCAACAUCUGGAGUGUUCUGGCAAGAAUUUGUAGGAAAAAUUUUUGAAUCAUCAGAUUACCAUAGCACAACCUUGGAGAAUAAAACUCUUUUGCUCUGAAGCUCAUCUAAUAACCUGAAAUCUCUCGAAUGAAUCUAUCCAAUGACAGGGAAUACCCCAUGUUAAACAGCUGAUUCUUGUUCUGAAUACAUUUUUUUUCCUUUU